UGCAAACAUAUUUUGCGCUUUAUACCCAUGCCUUCUCUAUUACCGCCCAAAACGUGGUUGGUGAUAUCAAUCCUGGCUCAUAAUCCAUUACGAGAAAGUGGGGCCGGCAAUGGGCUAGCCUUGAGCCAAAGUCACAACCGGGCCAGCCCAGUUCGAUUGACCCUUUUUCCCCUUUGUUUACCUUUAUCUUUUUUGGUCAUAGCUCCUUUGUUCCCUUAAUCUUUUUCAACCUUCCCGGCCUGGCACUAAUAAGUCAGGGCUUGACUAGGGCUGUUCGGCAUUUACUGUAGUGGUAUAAAAUCGGCGUAUCGUAGCAACCCUAAUCGAUCUGGG
rnacentral:lncRNA from 1 species